AUUGAACGCUGGCGGCAGGCCUAACACAUGCAAGUCGAGCGAGAAAGGUCUUCGGACUGAGUACAGCGGCGGACGGGUGAGUAAUGCGCAGGAAUCUACCUGGUAGUGGGGGAUAACUCGGGGAAACUCGAACUAAUACCGCAUACGCCCUACGGGGGAAAGCGGGGGACCGUUCGGGCCUCGCGCUAUCAGAUGAGCCUGCGUAGGAUUAGCUUGUUGGUGAGGUAAAGGCUCACCAAGGCGACGAUCCUUAGCUGGUCUGAGAGGAUGAUCAGCCACACUGGAACUGAGACACGGUCCAGACUCCUACGGGAGGCAGCAGUGGGGAAUAUUGCGCAAUGGGCGAAAGCCUGACGCAGCCAUGCCGCGUGUGUGAAGAAGGCCCUUGGGUUGUAAAGCACUUUCAAUUGGGAAGAAAGGUUGCGUGUUAAUAGCACGUAGCUGUGACGUUACCUUUAGAAGAAGCACCGGCUAACUCCGUGCCAGCAGCCGCGGUAA
rnacentral:rRNA from 1 species